GGAGAUUUAGUUCAGUGGUAGAGCACUUGCCUAGCAAGCGCAAGGCCCUGGGUUCGGUCCCCAGCUCCG
rnacentral:tRNA from 1 species